rnacentral:tRNA from 3 species
AGGUGAGUAGCUCAGUUGGUAGAGCGCUGGUCUCCAAAACCAGAUGUCCAAGGUUCGAAUCCUUGCUUGCCUG